rnacentral:pre_miRNA from 2 species
GUGAUUUCUGGUGUGGCAUCAUCAAGAUUCACACAAUGUAUGGCAUGCAUGCCAUGCUCUCAUCCUUCCCCAUCUGUCCGUGCUUGUGAACUUGAGUUUCGUUCAUGCAUGGGAGAUGGAUGGAUGGAUCGAUGAGCUUUGCUAGCUAGCCAGCGUACUAUGUGUGGGAAUCUUGAUGAUGCUGCAUCGGUGAUCAA